ACUCCUCGCUCCGCUCCUUCCUCCGCGGGAAGGGCAGGCCCCGGAGGCAGCGAGCGCCCCGGGGGUGGCCGGGCAGCCGGAUGCUCCCGGGGUUGCGGGCUGUGGCCCCGGGGGCUGAGGGCGGCGCGGGUGCGGCGGAAGCAGGGAAGCCGCGAACCGGCCUUCUGGCUGGCCACAGCGCCCUGCACGGACGAUCAGUGAAUGGAGAUUACUCAAGUAUUUAUCGAGAACUUGCAGUGGGCUAGGCACAGUUCAGGUAGAUCAACAAACCGAAAGACCCUGCCCUAGGGGAGCUUUCGCUCCAAUGCGGGGAGAGGGUGGAUGAUUGCAGUUUUGCCCAGUAAUUUUUGGGACCCUCAUGCCACCAUUAAUUAGCUACACACAUUUCACCGAAAGUCUACCUUACAUAUUAAUCAGAAGAAGUGGAAGAAUAAACACAGAAGAAGCAAAAAAGGAAGGAACUUUCUCACUGAAAGUUUCUAUUUAAUAUUAAGUCUUAAAAGUACUCCUGGAAGGACAAAAGGUGUUCUUAAUAAAUUAUAUUCGCAAAUAUUGGAUUUAAUCCUACCAGUAAUGAAGCAGUCAGUUACUUUCUAGAUGUGCAGAAAUACGUAAUGAACAAAAAAAACUAAUUCCUAUUCCAUUUUUUAUUAGGUCCACAGUUAUUUCACUUCUAAAUAAAUAUGGUUUUUUAAAAGUGGCACGCGGUGGAAUGUAAUUGAGACAGGAUGGAGUUCCUAGAGAAAUUUUACUUCCUCAAUCUGCACUCCACCUUACUUAAAAUACAGUCUUGGGUCUGUAAUUCCCUUAUCUGACUCUCAAGGAAAUGACAAAGUAAUGCCUAGAUUGGACUAAACCUCAUUUAACUUCAAGGCUGACCUUUCUCAAAGUUGAACCUUCGUCUUGUGAGGAACAGAAAGAUCAAGAACUCUGAAGCACCUCGACUUUCCACCUGUGAAGAUGUGUUCAAAUUUGCAACGUGCGGCCACACCUAUGAGGUCACUCCCUCUGGAGGAAACCAGCUGCCACUUUGUGAGGAUACUCAUAGUCCUGUGGAGGCAUAUCCUCCAUAUGGCUGAGACCUCCUGCGAACAACCAUCACUGACUUGCCAGACAUGAGUGUGCCACCUUGGAAGCAGAUUUUCCAGCCCCAGUUAAGCCUUCAGAUGACAUCAGCCCCUGCUAAUCUCUUGACUACAACCUCAUGAGAGACCCUGAGCCAGAACUAGCCAGGCUUACCCCUCAUGGUUACAAAGUGGCUGCAACAGCUCCAGGUGUUCUAUCCUUUAACACAGAAUAACUC
rnacentral:lncRNA from 1 species